rnacentral:tRNA from 1 species
GGAUGUGUAGCUCAGGUGGUUAGAGUAUUACGUUGACAUCGUAAGGGUCGCAAGUUCGAGUCUUGCCACAUCCACCA